rnacentral:rRNA from 1 species
AACGAACGCUGGCGGCGUGCUUAACACAUGCAAGUCGAACGAAGAGCGAUGGAAGCUUGCUUCUAUCAAUCUUAGUGGCGAACGGGUGAGUAACGCGUAAUCAACCUGCCCUUCAGAGGGGGACAACAGUUGGAAACGACUGCUAAUACCGCAUACGAUCCAAUCUCGGCAUCGAGGAUGGAUGAAAGGUGGCCUCUAUUUAUAAGCUAUCACUGAAGGAGGGGAUUGCGUCUGAUUAGCUAGUUGGAGGGGUAACGGCCCACCAAGGCGAUGAUCAGUAGCCGGUCUGAGAGGAUGAACGGCCACAUUGGGACUGAGACACGGCCCAGACUCCUACGGGAGGCAGCAGUGGGGAAUCUUCCGCAAUGGACGAAAGUCUGACGGAGCAACGCCGCGUGAGUGAUGACGGCCUUCGGGUUGUAAAGCUCUGUUAAUCGGGACGAAAGGUCCUCUUGCGAAUAGUUAGAGGAAUUGACGGUACCGGAAUAGAAAGCCACGGCUAACUACGUG